rnacentral:lncRNA from 10 species
GGUCCUCUUGAUACUGCAGACUUUUAACGUACACAUGCAGGAACCCUGCUGAGCGUGGGCACUUGUUUUAAAGCAAAACUCUUCCCAAGGACUGAAGAAAGGGCUUCUGGCAAGCUCGUCAUGGCAUUGUGGUGGGAUGGGUCUAGAGUGUCAUCUGAAUGGUGCUUCCUGUGUUCCUCUUUGAAUUCUGCCAUUUUCAGUAUUCUUGUGUGUCUGAAUAGGCAAAGCGAUUUAAUUGGCUGGUCUUGCACGCAAAUUAGUUCCAAAGAUAAGCUCUUUGUAACACAUUUCCAGUCGCUAAUGCUCAAAUGUAGAACAUUCCUUUAAAUGGCAGGAUAAAAAACCCACUAUCCACCAUAGUGCAUUUUGGGAAGAUGUCUGUAGCAUAUGUUGCUGUGAAAUUAGGCCUUGUGGGAUAUGGCUGUUUGUCAUUUUGAUGUAUUUUAAAUAAAUAUAUAUAUUUUUUAAAGAGCCUUUUUUACCAGUUCAAAAAGUUUAAUUAACCAGCAGUCACCGCAUCUGAAUUUUUGUCUCUGGGGCAUAGAUGGCAGACCAAGAUUAAAAGUGGUAACUCAGCUAUACGAGCAUGGGCUACCUUCCUGGGCUCUCCUGCAGUCCUGUAGACCUGCUGUUCCGCAGACCAUGGGACACAAGGUCAGUGUGUUCCCAGUGAGGGUCCCAAGUCAGUCAUCUUAAGUGUUUGUUCUCUGCCCCAUUCAGUGGACUGUUGACUUCAGUCCCUGCAAGUGCUUUAGCCCGAGUGGGGUUUUCUCAGAGCACUGCCACGAGUUAAGUGUGUGUUUAGCCAAAUAAUUUCUCCGUAAGGGAAAAAUGCAGUCACCCAAAUUUUACCAACAAUGACAGAGAUGAGAGUAGAAAAGAUUAGGCAACAUCUGAGUUUUAACUUGAAAAGUGUCCAAGUCAUCAUGAAAGGCCGACUGGGAGCAAGUGAUUAUUAGAGAUUCUUCAGGAGACCUCAUCUGAAAAUGUUAAGACUGCCAGUGAGGGAAGGAAUUGUUAAAAUGCCAGCGGCUUUUUUUUCCUCUUUUUUUCUGUAAUUCUGUAAAAAUGCAGAGAAAGUUGAGUGGUACUUCAGAAUUGAGGGAGAGGGUUACCGCAGAGUAGAAAUAUAUUUCUAGAUUUCAGUUCCACACCACAAAUCCACAACAAUGCCAUUUUUCAACUGUACAAAAAUCUGCUUAUGAACUGGACAUGAUCUUAAUGGUAGUGUCAAAGGCCAAGUUUUUCACCUGUUAAUAUUUUUCCACAUUUGUCCUUGAAUCUGAAUAACUUUAUACAGUACUGUAAAUUUAACUUACAUCGAGUUUGUUGUCAAUUCUUAUGAAAAGAGCUUUCUGCAUGUAACACAUACGGUUAAAGAACACAGCAAAGGACAAAAUUUGCAGGAACAGUUUUGGAACCAACAGAAAAUGUCACCUUUUAUUUGCCAUCUUAUAUAUAUCUAUCAGUUUUACCAGCUACUUCUAAAUUUGUACAUUAUUUGUAAGGGAAAGAAGGAAAACCCUAAGACUUGUCUAACUUAGUGGAGAAUGUGUGUGUUGGGCUUAGGAUGGAUAGCUAAGUCUUAUUGAGCUGUGUUACCUAACUUGUAUAUAAAAAUUGUAAUUAAAAGUUUGGGUUCACCUGUUUCUCACAGUUUAAAAUGAUGAGUAAUUGCAAACUCUGGAAAUGUGACUAGUAUAUGAUUUAAGGCUGUAGAAGCAAGGAAGCUCUUUCAAGUGCUAAAACUAAAGACUUCUAGUUUUUGGCUCAAAUAAGUACUGUUUGUAUACCAGGAUAUGUGAGAUGUAAAUGUAGUAGGUCACUUUUCACCCUUGUAGCUAUAAAAUAAAAAUUUUGUAGAACAGAAAUAGCUUGUACUACUGAAUUAACAAAAGUUAUACUAAAGUAUCAUGUUUAAAAAAAAUAUAUAUAUAUAUACAGAGUUAAGCUUGUUGCUGUUACCCUGUCUGGAUUUGAAAAGUGUGCUGAUUUAUAUAUAUAUAUUACACACACACACACACACACACACACACACACACACACACACACACACACACACACACACACACACACACACAUACACCUAAAAUGGCCUAAAGCAGACAUCCAUGUAAUUACAGUUGCAAAAUGAAAACAUUUUGGAAAGAACAUUGUAUCAUAGUUCAUUCAUUUGCAGUGGAUCUUUGUUCCUUUUUACUGUGGUAAUUUUAGAAAUGAGUGUCAAGUUUGAAAUUAGAUCUGCUAAGUUGGGGUUUUGCUGCUUGAACUCUGCACUGGGUCCUCAAAUAAACCGAUGUGAAUGUAGUUUUUUCCCCCUGUGUGAAGAAGCAGUUACACCCCAACAAUAGGAGGAAAAAUCUAGAACUAUUUCAAGUUUUAUCUUUUUGUAUAUGAAAAUAAAAUAAUAAUAAAACAA